rnacentral:rRNA from 1 species
UCCUCCCUCUUUCUUCGUGCCUCCUCCCUGCACGUCGACCGCUUCUUUCCUCCCGAGUGCUUGCACUCAAUUGGAAAGAGGAGUGGCGGACGGGUGAGUAACACGUGGGUAACCUACCCAUCAGAGGGGGAUAACACUUGGAAACAGGUGCUAAUACCGCAUAACAGUUUAUGCCGCAUGGCAUAAGAGUGAAAGGCGCUUUCGGGUGUCGUUGAUGGAUGGACCCGCGGUGCAUUAGCUAGUUGGUGAGGUAACGGCUCACCAAGGCCACGAUGCAUAGCCGACCUGAGAGGUUGGUCGGCCACACUGGGACUGAGACACGGCCCAGACUCCUACGGGAGGCAGCAGUAGGGAAUCUUCGGCAAUGGACGAAAGUCUGACCGAGCAACGCCGCGUGAGUGAAGAAGGUUUUCGGAUCGUAAAACUCUGUGGUUAGAGAAGAACAAGGACGUUAGUAACUGAACGUCCCCUGACGGUAUCUAACCAGAAAGCCACGGCUAACUACGUG